rnacentral:rRNA from 1 species
UGGGGAAUUUUCCGCAAUGGGCGCAAGCCUGACGGAGCAAUACCGCGUGAGGGAGGAAGGCUUUUGGGUUGUAAACCUCUUUUCUCAAGGAAGAAGUCCUGACGGUACUUGAGGAAUCAGCGCCGGCUAACUCCGUGCCAGCAGCCGCGGUAAGACGGAGGGCGCUAGCGUUGUUCGGAAUCACUGGGCGUAAAGGGCGCGUAGGCGGCUGCUUAAGUCGAGGGUGAAAGCCCGGGGCUCAACCUCGGAACGGCCUUCGAGACUGGGCGGCUAGAGACCGGAAGAGGAGGGUGGAAUACCCAGUGUAGAGGUGAAAUUCGUAGAUAUUGGGUGGAACACCAGUGGCGAAAGCGGCUCUCUGGUCCGGAUCUGACGCUGAGGCGCGAAAGCGUGGGGAGCAAACAGGAUUAGAUACCCCCGUAGUCC